rnacentral:rRNA from 1 species
GACGAACGCUGGCGGCGUGCCUAAUACAUGCAAGUCGAGCGAAGUUUUUCUGGUGCUUGCCCUAGAAAAACUUAGCGGCGAACGGGUGAGUAACACGUAAAGAACCUGCCUCAUAGACUGGGACAACUAUUGGAAACGAUAGCUAAUACCGGAAAACAGUAUUUCUCGCAUGAGAGAUAUUUAAAAGUUGGUUAUGCUAACACUAUGAUAUGGCUUUGCGGUGCAUUAGCUAGUUGGUGGGGUAAAGGCCCACCAAGGCGACGAUGCAUAGCCGACCUGAGAGGGUGAUCGGCCACACUGGGACUGAGACACGGCCCAGACUCCUACGGGAGGCAGCAGUAGGGAAUCUUCCGCAAUGGGCGAAAGCCUGACGGAGCAACGCCGCGUGAGUGAAGAAGGAUUUCGGUUCGUAAAGCUCUGUUGUUAGGGAAGAAUGGAUAUGUAGUAACCAUACAUGUAAGAGACGGUACCUAACCAGAAAGCCACGGCUAACUACGUG